UGCACACCGUACACUCUUCUAUUUCCCCUCCACCCUUGGGGUUCCAACCUGUUCCCUGUCUCCCGCCGGGUCUCACUCCAGCGAGAUCUCCAUGAGCCCAGAUUUGGGGCAGAAGUGGUGGAAUUCUCUGGGCCAACCCCACAUCUAAAUGAAGAGAAGGUGCACAGUCAGUGUGCGAGAGGUAUCCGAGGAUGGACUGUGCCCUUUCGGGAGCUGAGGGAGAGCGAAAAUUCCAUGUGAUCAAAAGUGGUGACUUUCCAGCAGAGUCACUCUGCAUGGGGAGAGGAGGGAGUCUUGUCUCCAGACCUGUUUUACGAUGAAUUUGACACACAGACCUUUUUCUUUAUGCACGCAGAAUUGGAUGGUGGUUGAGGAGGCUGGGUUCUAGUUACGGGUUGUUCAUAUUCCAUGGACUUUCUCAGUGACUGGGUGAGGAAGUGGCUGAUUCCAUGCCCAGCUUUAUAGGUCUGGGAAGAAAGCCAGUGACCUGCCCAUGAAGGUCUGGGGUUUGACAACUUUUCUGGCAGAGUUUCAACAUUGUGUCCACCAUUCUCAUGAUUUUAGCACUUUCCUGGUUUAGGGGCCCAUUAUAGAAGGUAAUUAAGGGGGCAGCAAGUGGCAUGGUGGUUAAAGGCACUGGACUCCCACAUGGCU